rnacentral:rRNA from 1 species
GACGAACGCUGGCGGCGUGCUUAACACAUGCAAGUCGAACGGAAAGGCCCUGCUUUUGUGGGGUGCUCGAAUGGCGAACGGGUGAGUAACAAGUGAGUAACCUGCCCUUGACUUUGGGAUAACUUCAGGAAACUGGGGCUAAUACCGGAUAGGAGCUCCUGCUGCAUGGUGGGGGUUGGAAAGUUUCGGCGGUUGGGGAUGGACUCGCGGCUUAUCAGCUUGUUGGUGGGGUAGUGGAUUACCAAGGCUUUGACGGGUAGCCGGCCUGAGAGGGUGACCGGCCACAUUGGGACGGAGAUACGGCCCAGACUCCUACGGGAGGCAGCAGUGGGGAAUAUUGCACAAUGGGCGGAAGCCUGAUGCAGCAACGCCGCGUGCGGGAUGACGGCCUUCGGGUUGUAAACCGCUUUCGCCUGUGACGAAGCGUGAGUGACGGUAAUGGGUAAAGAAGCACCGGCUAACUACGUG